AAGAUUCGAGUAGCGUCUCGCUGCAACCUGCGGUGGACAUCCAACCCCGCCCACAUCCAGGCAUGACGUCAGUUACCACGUCCAUUCACAUCUCACUCCAACACAGUAGAUGGCGAUAAUGUACCUUAUGUUGGUGCUUCCCGAAGAAGAGAGAAAGCACGAAGUUGAAGUACUAAAGUUGUUUACCACGUCGGAUUACAGAAAGAACAUAAAGUGGAAGUUCAUAAGGAACAUUGGUCCAGCAUGGUCCUGGGUAGAGAGUCACAGCAAGAUAUUCCUUGGAGAGGUGAUGGAGCCUGUCUUUCUCCAGAUGGAUUUGUUUUCGAAUAUCUGGAGGAUCUGAACACGUUUAUUUCAAACUGUUAUGAGGAACAAGGCCUGUACGGGCCAUGAAAUAUUCUUGUUCAAUAAUAAAUACAAGAAAUGCC